GUGAACGCUGGCGGUAGGCCUAACACAUGCAAGUCGAACGGCAGCACAGUAAGAGCUUGCUCUUACGGGUGGCGAGUGGCGGACGGGUGAGGAAUACAUCGGAAUCUACUUUUUCGUGGGGGAUAACGUAGGGAAACUUACGCUAAUACCGCAUACGACCUACGGGUGAAAGCAGGGGAUCUUCGGACCUUGCGCGAUUGAAUGAGCCGAUGUCGGAUUAGCUAGUUGGCGGGGUAAAGACCCACCAAGGCGACGAUCCGUAGCUGGUCUGAGAGGAUGAUCAGCCACACUGGAACUGAGACACGGUCCAGACUCCUACGGGAGGCAGCAGUGGGGAAUAUUGGACAAUGGGCGCAAGCCUGAUCCAGCCAUACCGCGUGGGUGAAGAAGGCCUUCGGGUUGUAAAGCCCUUUUGUUGGGAAAGAAAAGCAGCAGGUUAAUACCCCGCUGUUCUGACGGUACCCAAAGAAUAAGCACCGGCUAACUUCGUG
rnacentral:rRNA from 1 species